GACGUAGGAGGCGAGCGUUGUCCGGAUUCAUUGGGCGUAAAGAGCGCGCAGGCGGCUUGGUAAGUCGGAUGUGAAAUCCCGAGGCUCAACCUCGGGUCUGCAUCCGAUACUGCCCGGCUAGAGGUAGGUAGGGGAGAUCGGAAUUCCUGGUGUAGCGGUGAAAUGCGCAGAUAUCAGGAGGAACACCUAUUGCGAAGGCAGCUCGCUGGGACGUUCUGACGCUGAGACGCGAAAGCGUGGGGAGCAAACAGG
rnacentral:rRNA from 1 species